rnacentral:rRNA from 1 species
CCUACGGGAGGCAGCAGUGAGGAAUAUUGGUCAAUGGCCGAGAGGCUGAACCAGCCAAGUCGCGUGCGGGAAGACGGCCCUACGGGUUGUAAACCUCUUUUGUCGGGGAGCAAAGCGAGUCACGUGUGACUCAUUGAGAGUACCCGACGAAAAAGCAUCGGCUAACUCCGUGCCAGCAGCCGCGGUAAUACGGAGGAUGCGAGCGUUAUCCGGAUUUCUUGGGUUUAAGGGGUGCGCAGGCGGAGGUGUAAGUCAGCGGUCAAAUCGCGGGGCUCAACCCCGUACUGCCGUUGACACUGCAUGCCUUGAGAGCGCUAGAAGUAGGCGGAAUGCGUGGUGUAGCGGUGAAAUGCAUAGAUAUCACGCAGAACACCGAUUGCGAAGGCAGCAUACCGGCGCGCAACUGACGCUCAUGCACGAAAGCGUGGGGAUCGAACAGGAUUAGAUACCCUUGUAGUC